UACGUAGGGGGCAAGCGUUGUCCGGAAUCAUUGGGCGUAAAGCGCGUGUAGGCGGCUCGAUAAGUCUGCUGUGAAAGUUCAGGGCUCAACCCUGAAAUGCCGGUGGAAACUGUCGGGCUAGAGUCCGGAAGAGGCGAGUGGAAUCCUGGUGUAGCGGUGAAAUGCGCAGAUAUCAGGAGGAACACCAAUGGCGAAGGCAGCUCGCUGGGACGGUACUGACGCUGAGACGCGAAAGCGUGGGGAGCAAACAGG
rnacentral:rRNA from 1 species